rnacentral:rRNA from 1 species
GAUGAACGCUAGCGGCAGGCCUAAUACAUGCAAGUCGAACGAGAUUGAGGAGCUUGCUCUUCAUGAAAGUGGCGCACGGGUGCGUAACGCGUAUGCAACCUACCUUAAUCAGGGGGAUAGCCUCUCGAAAGAGAGAUUAACACCGCAUAACAUUAUUAUAUGGCAUCAUAUGAUAAUCAAAUAUUUAUAGGAUUAAGAUGGGCAUGCGUGACAUUAGUUAGUUGGCGGGGUAACGGCCCACCAAGACGAUGAUGUCUAGGGGAUCUGAGAGGAUGACCCCCCACACUGGUACUGAGACACGGACCAGACUCCUACGGGAGGCAGCAGUAAGGAAUAUUGGUCAAUGGGCGCAAGCCUGAACCAGCCAUGCCGCGUGCAGGAAGACGGCCCUACGGGUUGUAAACUGCUUUUAUGCUGGAAUAAACCUACUUACGCGUAAGUAGCUGAAUGUACAGUAAGAAUAAGGAUCGGCUAACUCCGUGCCAGCCGCCGCAGUAAAAC